rnacentral:rRNA from 1 species
GAAGAACCCUUCCAGGUCUUGACUUCCUCUAACAAUCCUAGAGAUAGGACGUCCCCUUUCGGGGGCAGAGUGACAGGUGGUGCAUGGUUGUCGUCAGCUCGUGUCGUGAGAUGUUGGGUUAAGUCCCGCAACGAGCGCAACCCUUGAUCUUAGUUGCCAGCAUUCAGUUGGGCACUCUAAGGUGACUGCCGGUGACAAACCGGAGGAAGGUGGGGAUGACGUCAAAUCAUCAUGCCCCUUAUGACCUGGGCUACACACGUGCUACAAUGGACAGAACAAAGGGCAGCGAAACCGCGAGGUUAAGCCAAUCCCACAAAUCUGUUCUCAGUUCGGAUCGCAGUCUGCAACUCGACUGCGUGAAGCUGGAAUCGCUAGUAAUCGCGGAUCAGCAUGCCGCGGUGAAUACGUUCCCGGGCCUUGUACACACCGCCCGUCACACCACGAGAGUUUGUAACACCCGAAGUCGGUGAGGUAACCUUUUAGGAGCCAGCCGCCGAAGGUGGGACAGAUGAUUGGGGUGAAGUCGUAACAAGGUAGCCGUAUCG